UUUUUUUUUUUUUUUUUUUUUGGUUCUUUUUUUUUUCCGGAGCUGGGGACUGAACCCAGGGCCUUGCGCUUCCUAGGCAAGCGCUCUACCACUGAGCUAAAUCCCCAACCCCGCUACCUAACUUUCAUAACAAUUUAUUUUGGUUUUUCCAUACAUUUAGUGACUUACAAUUCAGAUGUGCUACAAUACCAUUUGUCAUCCCUAAUUUGGGCAUUUAUGGAUUCUGUAAUUCAUAAUAAUUUGUACUGUGAAGAAUAACUUCCGGGUUUGUUGCAGUUCUCUCAUCGUUAGAUUGUCAGCCAUUUAUAACAUCCCUCUUUUGUUAUGUAAGAGAUUCCCACUCUGGUUGACGAUUGGAUUUAUAGUUUUGAGGUUUCAUUCCUUGUCGUCAUAAUCCAGAAACAAUGUCCACUUCAGGCUCUGCAUUCCUCACCUCAACUCAUAUUUAACAAAACUAUGCGUACUGGUGUUCAAGCAUUUCUCCUGCUUACCAGGUUUGCCAGGCUUGAGGCUGGUAAGUUCCCCACGGUUUUGCUGAGGAGAAUGCCUUGUUAGAGACUUCAGUUAAAACUGUAACUAAAGUGACAAAAACAGACUUCUGAGAAACCAUCAGAAGGUAGGGUUUUUUGUUUGUUUUUUUAAUCCUACAUUUCCUUUUGGUUUAUUUUGAUUUUAUGACUGCCAACUUGUUAUAUAUGAGUGUUUAUAUAUGCAUAUAAUAUAUGUAUAUGAAAAAGUUAAGAUUUGGUCAAACUAUAUUUUCCCAUUCAAGUACAAAAAAAUGUUUUCAAGGCUGCAAAAAGUGUACAGUUGUUAAACAAGUUGUAAAUAAAGACUUGUAUAAAAAUCCAGCAUA
rnacentral:lncRNA from 1 species